rnacentral:rRNA from 1 species
CCUACGGGUGGCAGCAGUGAGGAAUAUUGGUCAAUGGACGAGAGUCUGAACCAGCCAAGUAGCGUGAAGGAUGACUGCCCUAUGGGUUGUAAACUUCUUUUAUACGGGAAUAAAACGAUCCACGUGUGGGAUUUUGUAUGUACCAUAUGAAUAAGGAUCGGCUAACUCCGUGCCAGCAGCCGCGGUAAUACGGAGGAUCCGAGCGUUAUCCGGAUUUAUUGGGUUUAAAGGGAGCGUAGGUGGAUGGUUAAGUCAGUGGUGAAAGUUUGCGGCUCAACCGUAAAAUUGCAGUUGAAACUGGCAGGCUUGAGUACAGUAGAGGUGGGCGGAAUUCGUGGUGUAGCGGUGAAAUGCUUAGAUAUCACGAAGAACUCCGAUUGCGAAGGCAGUUCACUAGACUGCAACUGACACUGAGGCUCGAAAGUGUGGGUAUCAAACAGGAUUAGAUACCCGAGUAGUC